GUUCUCACUUCGGCAGCACAUAUACUAAAAUCAGAACAAUGCAAAGAAGAUUAGCAUGGACUCUGCAUUAGAAUGACACACAAAUUCAUGAAGAGUUCCAUAUUUUU